GACGAACGCUGGCGGCGUGCUUAACACAUGCAAGUCGAACGGAAAGGCCCUGCUUUUGUGGGGUGCUCGAGUGGCGAACGGGUGAGUAACACGUGAGUAACCUGCCCUUGACUCUGGGAUAACUUCAGGAAACUGGGGCUAAUACCGGAUAGGAGCUCCUGCUGCAUGGUGGGGGUUGGAAAGUUUCGGCGGUUGGGGAUGGACUCGCGGCUUAUCAGCUUGUUGGUGGGGUAGUGGCUUACCAAGGCUUUGACGGGUAGCCGGCCUGAGAGGGUGACCGGCCACAUUGGGACUGAGAUACGGCCCAGACUCCUACGGGAGGCAGCAGUGGGGAAUAUUGCACAAUGGGCGGAAGCCUGAUGCAGCAACGCCGCGUGCGGGAUGACGGCCUUCGGGUUGUAAACCGCUUUCGCCUGUGACGAAGCGUGAGUGACGGUAAUGGGUAAAGAAGCACCGGCUAACUACGU
rnacentral:rRNA from 1 species